rnacentral:ncRNA from 2 species
UGUGUGUGUGUGUGUGUGU